CCUACGGUGAGCAGCAGUGAGGAAUAUUGGUCAAUGGGCGGGAGCCUGAACCAGCCAAGCCGCGUGAGGGAAGAAGGUACAGCGUAUCGUAAACCUCUUUUGUCAGGGAACAAAGGCGGGGACUAGUCCCCGGCUGAGGGUACCUGAAGAAAAAGCAUCGGCUAACUCCGUGCCAGCAGCCGCGGUAAUACGGAGGAUGCGCGCGUUAUCCGGAUUUAUUGGGUUUAACGGGUGCGCAGGCGGCCUGUUCAGUCAGCGGGAAAAGCCCGGGGCGCAACCCCGGCGAGCCGGGGAAACUGGCGGGCUGGAGUUGGAGAGAAGUACGCGGAAUGCGCGGUGUAGCGGUGAAAUGCUUAGAUAGCGCGCAGAACCCCGAUUGCGAAGGCAGCGUACCGGCUCCACACUGACGCUGAGGCACGAAAGCGUGGGUAUCGAACAGGAUUAGAUACCCCUGUAGUC
rnacentral:rRNA from 1 species